AAUAUACUCUCUCGGUCCCAUAAUUUUUGUCGAAAUAUUACAUGUUUCUAGACGCUUUUUAGAAAUAGGUACAUCCAUUUUUAGAUAAAUUUGAGACAAAAAUUAUGAGACGGAGGGAGUACUUA
rnacentral:pre_miRNA from 1 species